rnacentral:rRNA from 1 species
UACGUAGGCAGCGAGCGUUGUUCGGAUUUACUGGGCGUAAAGAGUGCGUAGGCGGUUUUUUAAGUUUGGUGUGAAAUCUCCCGGCUUAACUGGGAGGGUGCGCCGAAGACUGGAAGGCUUGAGUAUGGGAGAGGUAAGCGGAAUUCCUGGUGUAGCGGUGAAAUGCGUAGAUAUCAGGAGGAACACCUGCGGUGUAGACGGCUUACUGGACCAUAACUGACGCUGAGGCACGAAAGCGUGGGUAGCAAACAGG